AAAUAAUUUAUUAUUUAGAACACAAGAUUAAAAUGCUCUUUACACUAAUCGUUAAUAUGCCAAAGGACAAAACGACCAGGCAAAAGUUAUGAAAUGUACAAAUGUCCAUAGAAGUAAUAAGGAGACUAAUAUUAUUACCUUCUUCAUUGCUUCAUCUAGAGUUUCAAAUGGAUCAUUUAGCAGGUACAAACGAAUACCUCUUGUAUGAUAAUAGGAGUAGUCACGCCAGGUGAAACAUGCUACAUUAAGUCUGAAGUAUUGUAGCCCGUAUCAAGACGAAAUCAACGAUCUAGUACACCAUGACCUUUGGAUGACCUUGAGGCAAAGAAAUUAAAACUUCAGCAAACAAUGACAAUCUGCUUGAAAGAGUGAUAGUAACUUGUGUUUAUUAUUAAGACUCGAAAUUACAUUCAAUUCAGGAACCUUGACUAAAUUAACACAAAUGAUUUCGUGAGAAAGUCACAUCAAAUGUUCGAAUUGAAGUCCAUGUUCUUGUAGUCAUUAUUCCACUCUAUAUAGUAAGUUUGCAUUGGUUGCUCUUUUGAACUGUCCAUAAUUCAAACAUUGAUGCAGGGGCUUCCAGACGAUAUUUAGCAGCGUAUUUAUUUCCAGCAAGACAGUUGCCUACUUCAUAAUGCUCAAAUCGUUCGUAAUUACCUAAACUUAAAGUUUGAAGAACAUUAUUGGUUGGGCACUUAUGGCCCUAUUGCUUGGCCACCAUGAUCACCUAAUUUGAUACCAGUUGAUUUUUUUUUUAUAGGUUCAUUUCUAGCCGAUUGUUUAUGCUGUUCCAAUAGAAUAUAAGGAACAUUUAAAGCAGCAAAUCUGUACACCAUGCGAAGAACUUCACUACGACAGCAUCGUAAGAGCAACCAAUGGAAACUUACUAUAUAGAGCGUAAUUGUGCCUACAAGAAAAUGGACUUUAAUUCGAACAUUUGAUAUGACUUUCU